rnacentral:misc_RNA from 1 species
AAGUCGUAACAAGGUUUCCGUAGGUGAACCUGCGGAAGGAUCAUUAUUGAAUUAAAUUGGUAGAGGUUGUUGCUGGCUCUUAAAAGCAAGUGCACACCUCUCCAUCUUUAUUUUCCCUUGUGCACAUUUUGUAGUCUUUAUGAUUAAAAAUAGCUAAUGUUCGAGUCUAACUCGGUUGAGGAGUUGCUGUGCGUAAGCUGGCUCUCCUUGUAAGCUAUCAAUAAUAAUAAAGUCUAUGUUUUACUAUACCCAAAUGAAUGUUACAAGAAUGUAAUCAAUGGACUUAGUUGUCUAUAAAACAAAUACAACUUUCAGCAACGGAUCUCUUGGCUCUC